UUGGUUCGGAGUUUGUGUCGAGUACCUCGGAAGAAAUUAUCUUUGCGGCAGACUUCGGACAGACACUGUGCCACAGGACGUUGAUAGAAACGACCACAGAAUUAUGAAUGUGACGCAGCUCUAUUAAAACAUAUCUCCCAAGUGAAAAGUUCGACGGUUUGUCGGGCUAGCUAAAGUUGGUAGCUUGCUAGCACCGUGCAAGCCGUGCUAGCUAACAUACACACCAGACACCAAAGUUAACUUCCCCACUUAUGUCGCCAUGCAUUACUGGACCUGUUUUUGUAUGUGUUCCAUGAGCGUUUUCUCACAAAUCUGGAAGGCGAAAAACACGCAAAUUAUCACUUUGCCGCCAUUUUCGUGUUGGCGUUUUUAUUUAUUCAUAAAGAGAUGUAUUUUCUUGAGCUAACCACUGGGGGCGUAGUUCGUGUAACCUGAUGGUACCACAGGACCAAUCCUGUCGGGAUUCAGGGGUCUCCAUUUCACCUCAACUUGAUUGAGACUGAGAAGAACUGAACUGAAGAUCGGCUUACCUAAGUGAGAUGUUGGGGCGAGGAAGUUUCCAGGAUGGUGGGGCGGAUGACCGAAUGGACCUGCUGAUGGAGAUCUGACACACACUCACCUGCAGCAGAGAAGAGCGUGGCGGGUCGUGCCAAGUCGCUGGGGUGAUGGAUGGCGCCGAAGAGGCUGGGGCCCGGAGGUCGACUCAGGAACUCCGGCUUGAGGCCAAAGUCUAGC